AUAUCAAUAAGCGGAGGAAAAGAAACCAACAGGGAUUGCCUCAGUACGGCGAGUGAAGCGGCAACAGCUCAAAUUUGAAAUCUGGCUCUUUCAGGGUCCGAGUUGUAAUUUGUAGAAGAUGCUUCGGGUGUGGCUCCGGUCUAAGUUCCUUGGAACAGGACGUCAUAGAGGGUGAGAAUCCCGUAUGCGUACGUACGG
rnacentral:rRNA from 1 species